CCGGUUUCCGGUUGUGAGCGUGAGUGGACGUGCGAGUGGCGGGAGUUCUGAAUUGUUUUCUGUCUGUUUCUGGAUUAUCUCUCCAUCUUUUCCCUCUAUACAUGAUCAGGCAUGCUGAGCUUUCUGAAGGGAUUUCUCUCAGCAAGAUUUGCCCAUACCUUCAGGAAAGAACCCAAAUGCCAUGCGCAUUCCGGAAUAAAGAGGAAGAGAUUAAAAGACAAGUUCACUCGCCCUCCCAAGGAGGGCUUUUGAACUAAAGACUGUGAUGUGUGAGAAGCAAUCCGCCAGACUUUUGAUGACAUCCGUAUCAGCACUCUGCACCCAAGCCUCCAUUUUGUCUUGUGUAAGAGCUGGCAAACACGUCACGCUACGACUUUAAUACCCAAUUAAUUACUCUCAUCUUGACCUGCCGGUAAAAUGAGCCCGGCUGCCACCGCCGCCCGUGUUUAUGUUAUCUGUGCAAAAAUGCAUUAGCAUGUGCCCCCUUUAAUGGCUUUAAUUAGUCGUAAACGGAGCUGAUUCUCCCGUUAAGUGGAUGAGGAGCCGAUACUGUUCUACAGUCCCAAUAUGCACAGCUCCAACUCUAUCUCACUGAGAAGGAGGUGCACAGGAGGAUAGUUUGCACAGCAAUGGCAGAGGGCGGGCUGGAUAACCCCUUUCAGUAAUAAAGAAGGUAUCGCAUACUCCACAACUAUAUCAGGCAGUACUCACUCACUGCUCUGAUAUGAAAAGGACAUAAUUAGAGUGCUGCUGUACUGACAGAGGAGUCCUCACAGUGGAGUUGUUUCAAUGUCAGUUACAUAAUGUUAAAAGAAAGUUUCCACUGGAGCAGAUGAAACAUCAACUGGGUCUAUUGUCAGCAGAUGGAAAGGGAGUCAUCAUCCUGUCAUAAUAAAGCAGACAUGUCCUGGGGAUGAGUGGAAAGAAAUAUGGAUACAGCAAAAUUGGAAAAAAAUAACAAAAGCUACAAUAAGCCUAUUUCCUCCAGUCUUUCCAGACUAAAAGAUGUCUGAAAUGAUACUGCCAGCACAAACACAUCAUUGUUAUUUCAGCUUUAGUUGACAAUGUUUGCCAAAUAAACGCUUCCCCAAUAGAAACCCUGCAGAUUCAGUAAAUGAGGCUACUUUGAGGAAGUGAGGCCCAUAAAGUCCAUGUCAGUAAACCGUCUCUGCUCUCAUCCCAAUAGAGUUUCCAGUCUCCAGUCUCUCCACUUGCUGAAUAAUGCCUCUCCUGGCUGGUGGUGAAGUGCAGUGCUCUCACACUGAAGGCUGUUUAUGGUCUCUAAUGCAUGAUGCUAUAGCUUUUGAAAUACCAGGUCUCUAUUACAACGUUGUGUGCAGAUGGAAUCCAUUGAUAGGAAAUACUGUGAUACCGCAAAUGACCUCGUAGAAUUUCUGGAUGUAUAUGUCUUAACUCAUUUAACCAACGGUUUUUAACGGAGCAGUACUUCCCAAUGAAAUUCGGCUACCUGGAGGAUGUGCUCAUAGUUACAAUAUACCUCUUUAAGAAGCAACAAACAGGAAUCAUCUUCUUCCCCCAAAGCUCCCCAAUCAACAGUCACGAACAGGAAUCAAGGGGAUCUAUUAAAAACAGCUGACUUAAACUGUAAUAUCACACGGAUUCCAUCAAAAUUUACGCAACGGGACUACUUGAAAACACAGAUUACCAGCUCCCAUGGAGAAAAUCUGAAAUAAAGAUCUGAACUUUUUCAAGGACAAAGAUGAAAAUAGAAAUACAAAAGGAAGAAAAACGAACA